UCAAAUGCAGGUUCUCGUACGAUCACCAAAGUUAAGCAACGUCGAGCCUGGUCAGUACUUAGAUGAGCGACCGCUUUGUAAUACCAGGUGCUA